CCCCCACGGUGGAGCGCCAAAACUGCCGAGUUGCUGUCCGAGGUUUUUUCUCUACUCCCCCGGGCGGGGGAGGAGGCUGCACCGGCCGAGCUGUGGCACAGCAACUGACAGCCGGGGGGCACUGCCCAGAUGCGCCGGGGGCGUCCGGGCAGCGCCUCAGCAGGAGGCAGCAGUGAUCAGCAAGAAGGCGAAGGAGAAAAGAGGGACCCGAAUCAGGGCAAAGUCCAGAGUGCUUUAAUGUCUCCAGGGAACGCCAGCCGAGUCGGGACCACGAGGCAGGGGUACAGCCGAUUAUAAAGGGACGGAACAUAGAACAUUUCAACCAAUGAGAGAGAACUUGGGACGGAACAAACCCGUGACAAACAUGCCGGCUCGCCAAUAGGGAAUGUGACAGGGAGGGACCCUUGUUCCCGAUCCAGUCACCCACCGAGGAGGGGAGAACUUUCUGGAAAUAGGGAAGGGGACAGUGGCUGAUGGACAGGAACUCAGGGAGGGAUUGACAGAGGGUAACCAGGGGAACAGGGGUGGAGACAAAAAACUGAUACUCUCAAAAGGAGGGGUUGCCAGGGGAGGUGGGGGGGGGAACCCUAGGACCGAACCAUUAUAACUUUAGGGGGAAACGGAAGAAACCAAAUGAACCCUGCACCACAACAUCACCCCUCUUUUUCUCCCUCAACAAUGUUGUCCUCAACAGCCUGUUUAUUCCCUUUCCCACUUUCUCUAACAUUGUCUCCUGUAUAUUGUGCUGUGCCAACCCAUCCACAAAUGCAACAGCUUUUCUCCAGUGCUUCACUUAGCUGUGUUGCACACAAGCACUCAUGGAAAGGGUACAUAAUGGUAUCAGUGUUUUUCCUGCCAGCUUCUCUACCCUUUCCUUACUCUUUCCUAUUCUUUUUGAUUUAUGUUGAUCUCCUACAUUACUAGGGUAAAGAUUGUGUCAUUUGCAGUAUUGCUGACCUCAGACACUCAAAAGAAAUGUAUUAGUUCUUGAAAAAUAAUGAUCUUGGUUUUAGAAAUAUGUAUUUGCAUGAUCAUGUUUACAUAUUUUAUUUUCCCUCUUCAAUUUCACAUGAGAUUUUACAGUUAACAUUUUAACCACGAGUGGCUAAGGUGAGGUGAUUUUUACAUGAAGGCUGAGUUUCUUAUGUAAAAAUAUUACUCCAGGAGAUGAAGGUUAUAGAAAAUAUUAGAUAUCCCAAAAUCCAUGAUUAAAUUAAAAUGCAGUAUUUAUUUGUGUUGAGGAGACAUCUGUUUGAAUACUAAGAUUUUACUCUAUCAUUAUGUACUCUCCAGGAUCCUACAACUCAAAGUUCUUUUUUUGUCUGAGUGUUUUGUCUGUUGAUCAAGAAAUGAUAGAUUCAUAAAACUGACCCACUGAUGAAGUCCUUCACUCUUUGAGGAUGAGGCAGAAAUGUCAAAACUAUCACCCUUUCCAAGUUAUUCUGUACUUUGGCAAUGAGCACUUUUCAUCCUCACAUGUGAGGACAUUAUACAGGACUGUUCCUACUUUGAAGAAGGGGAGAUUGAAGUACAGGGAUGUGAGAUCCAUUUCCAUAGACACAUCAGUCUGCAGCAGAGAAACAGAAGUAAAUCCAGGUCCUCUGAAUUCCUGCUUUGAGACCUAUCCACUACAAAAUUCAUAGAAUUUAUUAUUAAUAGAAGUCGGUCACUUCUGCCAAGACCAUCACCACAGACAUAUCCAGACUCAGCAAGCUGGUGGAAAAAAUAAAGUAUCAAAUAUGUGAAAAGUUAUGCAGUGCAAAGUUUUGUGAAUA